ACGAACGCUGGCGGCAUGCCUAACACAUGCAAGUCGAACGGGCUGUAGCAAUACAGCCAGUGGCGAACGGGUGAAUAACGCGUGGGAACCUGCCUCGGAGUUCGGAAUAACCGCGGGAAACUGCGGCUAAUACCGGAUACGGCCUGAGGGCGAAAGGAGCAAUCCGCUCCGGGAGGGGCCCGCGUCCGAUUAGCUAGUUGGUGGGGUAACGGCCUACCAAGGCGAUGAUCGGUAGCUGGUCUGAGAGGAUGAUCAGCCACACUGGAACUGCGACACGGUCCAGACUCCUACGGGAGGCAGCAGUGGGGAAUAUUGGACAAUGGGGGAAACCCUGAUCCAGCAAUGCCGCGUGGGUGAUGAAGGCCUUCGGGUUGUAAAGCCCUUUCGGCGGGGACGAUGAUGACGGUACCCGCAGAAGAAGCCCCGGGCUAACUUCGUGCCAGCAGCCGCGGUAA
rnacentral:rRNA from 1 species